rnacentral:rRNA from 1 species
GCAAGUCGAACGGCAGCACGGAGCUUGCCCUGGUGUCGAGAGGCGAACGGGUGAGUAAUAUAUCGGAACGUACCCUAUAGUGGGGGAUAACGUAGCGAAAGUUACGCUAAUACCGCAUACGAUCUAAGGAUGAAAGUGGGGGAUCGAAAGACCUCAUGCGCGUGGAGCGGCCGAUAUCUGAUUAGCUAGUUGGUAGGGUAAAAGCCUACCAAGGCAUCGAUCAGUAGCUGGUCUGAGAGGACGAUC